GAUGAAGAACGCAGCGAAAUGCGAUAAGUAAUGUGAAUUGCAGAAUUCAGUGAAUCAUCGAAUCUUUGCACGCACAUUGCGCCCGCCAGUAUUCUGGCGGGCAUGCCUGUUCGAGCGUCAUUACAACCCUCAGGCCCCCGGGCCUGGCGUUGGGGAUCGGCGGAAGCCCCCUGCGGGCACAACGCCGUCCCCCAAAUACAGUGGCGGUCCCGCCGCAGCUUCCAUUGCGUAGUAGCUAACACCUCGCAACUGGAGAGCGGCGCGGCCACGCCGUAAAACACCCAACUUCUGAAUGUUGACCUCGAAUCAGGUAGGAAUACCCGCUGAACUUAAGCAUAUCAAUAAGCGGAGGA
rnacentral:misc_RNA from 1 species